AGUGAACGCUGGCGGUAGGCCUAACACAUGCAAGUCGAACGGCAGCACAGGAGAGCUUGCUCUCUGGGUGGCGAGUGGCGGACGGGUGAGGAAUACAUCGGAAUCUACUUUUUCGUGGGGGAUAACGUAGGGAAACUUACGCUAAUACCGCAUGCGACCUACGGGUGAAAGCAGGGGACCUUCGGGCCUUGCGCGAUUGAAUGAGCCGAUGUCGGAUUAGCUAGUUGGCGGGGUAAAGGCCCACCAAGGCGACGACCCGUAGCUGGUCUGAGAGGAUGAUCAGCCACACUGGAACUGAGACACGGUCCAGACUCCUACGGGAGGCAGCAGUGGGGAAUAUUGGACAAUGGGCGCAAGCCUGAUCCAGCCAUACCGCGUGGGUGAAGAAGGCCUUCGGGUUGUAGAGCCCUUUUGUUGGGAAAGAAAUCCAGCUGGCUAAUACCCGGUUGGGAUGACGGUACCCAAAGAAUAAGCACCGGCUAACUUCGUGCCAGCAGCCGCCGUAA
rnacentral:rRNA from 1 species